rnacentral:rRNA from 1 species
CUACGGGGGGCAGCAGUGGGGAAUAUUGCACAAUGGAGGAAACUCUGAUGCAGCAACGCCGCGUGGAGGAUGACACUUUUCGGAGCGUAAACUCCUUUUAUAUAGGAAGGAGAUGACGGUACUAUAUGAAUAAGCGCCGGCUAACUCCGUGCCAGCAGCCGCGGUAAUACGGAGGGCGCAAGCGUUACUCGGAAUCACUGGGUGUAAAGAGCGUGUAGGCGGAUUAAAAAGUCAGAAGUGAAAUCCUAUAGCUUAACUAUAGAACUGCUUCUGAAACUCUUAAUCUAGAAUAUGGGAGAGGUAGAUGGAAUUUCUGGUGUAGGGGUAAAAUCCGUAGAGAUCAGAAGGAAUACCGAUUGCGAAGGCGAUCUACUAGAACAUUAUUGACGCUGAGACGCGAAAGCGUGGGGAGCAAACAGGAUUAGAUACCCGAGUAGUC